rnacentral:lncRNA from 1 species
GCUGAACAAAUUAUCUAAUUUUUCAGAUAAGAAAAUUGAAGCCCAGAAGAUGGAAACACUAAGAGACUUCCCACUGGGUUCCAGCCGGCACACCCAACCUCUUCAGGACCUGGCUCUCCUAGACAGUGAUUAUCUUGGCACAUUGCCACGGUCAAGAGCGACACCUCAAGACCAAAUUAGAAACAGUCACAAUAGCUUCACUUCUGUCAAUGGUUCAGCCUGAGCAACAGGCAUAAACUUCAUUUUUCUUCACCUGAUACUCUCUGAUUCAACACCCUACAUUUCUGCCAGGCUUGUGUGGUCUCUUUAGAAUGGCCAUACUCUAAAAAAAUUGCAAAUGGAACUGCAAAUCCACUACCUGUGUGUCUUCGGACCAGC